AAUCCCUUUGACGUACACUAACACAUAAAAGACCACUAUUAAGCAAACGUUGACGGAAAGAUUUUUAAUGAUGCAUUUGACUGACUGUGUCACAGUACAUUCCUACUACUGCAAAUCAUUUUGUUUGACUGUUUCAUGCACAGAAUGUUCAUACUUCCACUGCAAAGAGUUGAUUGGUGUAUGGAACAUGUGAGAAAUCCCUUUGACGUACACUAACACAUAAAAGACCACUAUUAAGCAAACGUUGACGGAAAGAUUUUUAAUGAUGCAUUUGACUGACUGUGUCACAGUACAUUCCUACUACUGCAAAUCAUUUUGUUUGACUGUUUCAUGCACAGAAUGUUCAUACUUCCACUGCAAAGAGUUGAUUGGUGUAUGGAACAUGUGAGAAAUCCCUUUGACGUACACUAACACAUAAAAGACCACUAUUAAGCAAACGUUGACGGAGAGAUUUUUAUGAUGCAUUUGGUCCCCACAAUGCAGAGAAAACUCACGCCAUCGGAGGUCCCCACAACGCCACCUGCGUAUGUAUAGAUGAAC